rnacentral:rRNA from 1 species
AGGGAUCAUUACUGAGUUUACGCUCUACAACCCUUUGUGAACAUACCUAUAACUGUUGCUUCGGCGGGUAGGGUCUCCGUGACCCUCCCGGCCUCCCGCCCCCGGGCGGGUCGGCGCCCGCCGGAGGAUAACCAAACUCUGAUUUAACGACGUUUCUUCUGAGUGGUACAAGCAAAUAAUCAAAACUUUUAACAACGGAUCUCUUGGUUCUGGCAUCGAUGAAGAACGCAGCGAAAUGCGAUAAGUAAUGUGAAUUGCAGAAUUCAGUGAAUCAUCGAAUCUUUGAACGCACAUUGCGCCCGCCAGCAUUCUGGCGGGCAUGCCUGUUCGAGCGUCAUUUCAACCCUCAAGCUCUGCUUGGUGUUGGGGCCCUACAGCUGAUGUAGGCCCUCAAAGGUAGUGGCGGACCCUCCCGGAGCCUCCUUUGCGUAGUAACUUUACGUCUCGCACUGGGAUCCGGAGGGACUCUUGCCGUAAAACCCCCCAAUUUUCCAAAGGUUGACCUCGGAUCAGGUAGGAAUACCCGCUGAA